rnacentral:rRNA from 1 species
AUUGAACGCUGGCGGCAUGCCUUACACAUGCAAGUCGAACGGUAACAGGUCUUCGGAUGCUGACGAGUGGCGAACGGGUGAGUAAUACAUCGGAACGUGCCCAGACGUGGGGGAUAACGAGGCGAAAGCUUUGCUAAUACCGCAUACGAUCUAAGGAUGAAAGCAGGGGACCGCAAGGCCUUGUGCGUUUGGAGCGGCCGACGGCAGAUUAGGUAGUUGGUGGGAUAAAAGCUUACCAAGCCGACGAUCUGUAGCUGGUCUGAGAGGACGACCAGCCACACUGGGACUGAGACACGGCCCAGACUCCUACGGGAGGCAGCAGUGGGGAAUUUUGGACAAUGGGCGAAAGCCUGAUCCAGCAAUGCCGCGUGCAGGAUGAAGGCCUUCGGGUUGUAAACUGCUUUUGUACGGAACGAAGAGGCUCUGGCUAAUACCUGGGGCACAUGACGGUACCGUAAGAAUAAGCACCGGCUAACUACGUG